rnacentral:rRNA from 1 species
GACCUGGCUCAGGACGAACGCUGGCGGCGUGCCUAACACAUGCAAGUCGAACGGAACUGUUUUGAAAGAUUUCUUCGGAAUGAAUUUGAUUUAGUUUAGUGGCGGACGGGUGAGUAACGCGUGAGUAACCUGCCUUCAAGAGGGGGAUAACAUUCUGAAAAGAAUGCUAAUACCGCAUGAUAUAUCGGAACCACAUGGUUUUGAUAUCAAAGAUUUUAUCGCUUGAAGAUGGACUCGCGUCCGAUUAG